CUACAAGGAAUUGACGGGGCCGCACAAGCGGUGGAGUAUGUGAUUAAUUCGAUGCAACGCGAAGAACCUUACCUGGCCUUGACAUCCCGGGAAUUUCCUGGAAACAGGAGAGUGCUUUCAUUAGAGAGAACCUGGAGACAGGUGCUGCAUGGCUGUCGUCAGCUCGUGUCGUGAGAUGUUGGGUUAAGUCCCGCAACGAGCGCAACCCUUGUCAUUAGUUGCUACGAAAGGGCACUCUAAUGAGACUGCCGGUGACAAACCGGAGGAAGGUGGGGAUGACGUCAAGUCCUCAUGGCCCUUAUAGGUGGGGCUACACACGUCAUACAAUGGCCGGUACAGAGGGUAGCCAACCCGCGAGGGGGAGCCAAUCCCACAAAGCCGGUCGUAGUCCGGAUCGCAGUCUGCAACUCGACUGCGUGAAGUCGGAAUCGCUAGUAAUCGCGGAUCAGCAUGUCGCGGUGAAUACGUUCCCGGGUCUU
rnacentral:rRNA from 1 species